GAAACGCAGGAAAAGAACAAGCUCUCCGCAAGACACACCUUGCCUCACUCGUAUCCUGCAGCACCGCCUGCAAACAGCUGCGCUAGCUUGUUGCAACUGCCACUAUUUUAUUUUAAAAGAAGAAUAACAGUAAUAAUAGUCGAUUUGCAUGACCUCCGGCAAAGAGCUAAGGCAGCAAGAAAUCCCAAGUCGACUGUUGCCACAAAGCGGCACGCAUCUCCCCUUCCCCGGGUGUAAACAGAGCUCUCUGAUGAUGGACUGCCUUCUUCCCCCCUCCCUGUGUAUCACGAAUUAGGGCGCGAUAUCGAUUUUAAAGUUUUCGCUAUAACUUUAUCCCGGGCUCCGCCGGCAGAGAUAAGGCGGCGGCGGCUCCUGGGGACAGCGCCGCGCCGUGGCCGAGCGCGGCACGGCCGCCGCCGCAGCUUUGUGUGCUCCCCGCAGCCGUGCCCGGCCAACUUCACAGCACUCACCCGCCUCAAACUUCGCGCGGAGCCCACAAGCACCACUAAACUCCCCUCGCCUUUCUCCAUCCCGCGUCUCUCGGGGUUAUCCGCCAGGAGAAACCCACGCGAGCGCUUCGGAGCAAUGACAGCGGCGCUCCGCUCUCAAAGAUUUAUUUCGGAUUUUAUUUUUCCUCUCCUUCUCUCUUUCUCCCUCUCGUGUUAGUUCCUUACGUACAAUAUCUUCCCGCACCAUGUGUUCGCCUGCCGUGGGUGAUCUUAAAAUACAACGCUGAUCUGUCACUACAUUUUAAAAUAAACUCUACUCGGGAAGGAUGAGAAAGUGUUGUGAUUUCAAGGUACUGGGGUCCCUUAACGUCUCGGAAACCUCGGGAUUCAAACAGCCCCGGAAACUCGCACGGGGACGAGACUAUAACUACUUUUCCCUAAAGAGAAGGGAGGGGAAAAAAAAAAAAAAAAGGAAGAAAAAAGAAACACAACACCCUCGUGAUAUCAAAGUAAAUAAUCGUGCAGGGGGAGGCGGGGGAAGGGGUGAAUUCAGCAAUGUUAAAAGCUAAACAACAGAUCUAUCUCCGGACGCUGCUGCUUCACUCAAUUGCAACUAAUAACCCAUUAAAGACAGCGCAGGGGGAACUGAAUUCUCUCCUGCAAAGCGACAUAAAUCCAGCGAAAACCCAUUAAACCGCCGCCACCGCCACCAAGCCACGCAGCACUACACACCACAGCAAACAACAGUGAAGGCGAUGGUUACUGCUGUCAAUCUUGGCAAUCAAUGUGAGCGGCCAUGUCUAGAAAUUUGCGGACUAGGUUAGACCCAGAAGCACACUCAGCCCCACUGCGAAUGAACCUGGCUUCAGCAGGACGUGAUGAAAAUUGAACAUUAACGCGAUGGCACAGGACAGAUAUGACCUGGCUCCGAUUCAUUUUGUUAACAAGCUGUAAAACUCGACACACUGCUGGAGGCAUGCACGUUGCAUCCUCUGCUAUCCGAGGUGCUAUCGCCCCUCUCGAGCCGAGUUCAGGGAAGAGGAGUUGUAAGUCAGAACCUCUUGGAAUAGCGGACCUGUUUUAUACCAUAUUUUUGGCAAUUCCACUACAAUAAAAGGAGUAACCAAGUCCUAUUCGGCAAGUAGCAAGCACCUUGAAAUAGAACUUUAAAAUUAUCUAGUAAAGCUUUAUCAUCAAAUUAGCUGAUGAGGGCAUAGUAGCUAAUUCCCAUGCAUUCUUUCAAUUUUAAUAAAAGACACUAAAAAAGUGAAAUUCAGGGAUAAGGAGAAAUUGUAUGAUUGUAAAUACUGAGUUUGUAUUCACCUGCAUUCGGCUAAUUCAAAGUAUUCACCUUGCUGCAGUUACCCCGUGUAUGGAAUUAACAGCAGUAAAUAGUUUCCUUUCAAGAGAUUACUCUGUCAUUUUAAAUCUUUAAUUAUAAGAAUUCCCGUGAUUGGCCACUAACGCUUUCCUUGUAACACAUUUAAACCUGCUGCAAGUAAAGGAAAUACCUUUUUUGCACAUCUAACGUAGCUUUGGCACGCAAAAAAGAUUUUUUUAAAAAUUUAAAUGAGCUAUGUAAGGAAAGAGAUAUAAAUCAGAAUACAAGGACGAAUAGUCUGCCUCAGUCUGCAAUUCUAGUAAUUUGUUGCUGGAAGUUUUUUUCUUCCAAGAAACAGAAAAGAAAAAAAACAACCCAAGCCCUCCUCAAACCUAGCGCCUUCUUAAAUACGAAGCGGGAAUGGGACAAGAGAUAAUUAAGGCAUCAGAUAAGUCUAACCGCCCACCUAGCUCCAAGUCGGGGGAGCAUCCCGCUGCACUGCCGAAAUUCCAGGACAGGGAAUGACAUUGGCUUGGGGCAGGACGGGGCAGGGAUGCGGCCACGCUGCCAUGCGGAGCGCAAGGAACGCUCUCCAGCUUGUUGCUUCCCCUGUGUGAUCAAUUAAGUUACAGAUGAAACUCACAGCGCCGGAGAGCGGCAACUUCUCGGCGGCAGCAAAAGAGGAUUCCUUGGGCAUUGUAUGCAAAUGUGAGUGUGCGUGUGUGCGCGCUGCACGGGGAUAAUUGUCAUUCCCUCUUUGUUUGCAUAAGUGAACACCCGCCGUGCGGAUCCGUACACACGUGCCGAGAAACAAGAAAACGCUUUCACUCGGAGCGGUACCCCACGUUUAGAAACCGCGUUUGGAGUGACUGCCCUCGCUUUGGCUUCAUGAAGGCUAAAGGCAGGCAGAUGUUGAGGAGGGAUGCUGACCUGCUGGGGGUGCCUGCGCAGGGAAGGGACCGCAGGCGCUCACAUCAGGUCGGGGCACUUACCUGUGCACAGCUGUCAGGGCAUUUUGCGCCUUGCGUCUCGCCAAAUGCCUUAAAGUAAAGCAAUGUUCAACAAGCGAGGCGACCUGUCUGUGUGCUAAGUGGUACGUACCGCAUCUCUAACCUGAGCAGCAAACCUGCAACUCCUGGAGAGUUGGCGGAACAGUCUCAGAAGUUUUGGAUUCAAAGGGCAAGAAAUUUCACUUUAAAAGUCAUUCACCCACUUCUAAACUGCCCUCUCACCCCAGUUAAUGCCGGACAAUUAAGAGGCAUGUUUAUAAAUUCCCUCUGCGGACACUGUCCGACAAUGAAGGCUUGUUACAGGCUUGCUAGAGAUGUUCAGAGAAACUUUUGCGAAAUAAUCAACGGCAUCUGAGAGAAAGCUAAAGGAAAAGAAGUUAAAGCCUGAUAAUCCGAUUGGGAAAAAGUUUUGUUAGACUAGAUAGAAGUAAAUUACUGCACGUUUCUUCAAAAGCAAACCCAUCAGCUGAUACGAGUUCCCCUAGAACAAGAACCUCUGGCGAACUCCUCCAAAUUUAGGGGACGUUUGCAUUUUGUAACACUCAAAGCUAGAGAUCUGCCUGAAAACAAAAACUCUGAAUUCCUUACAGCGUCAUCUGCCAACAAAAUGUAUUGUCUUGGCAGAAAAAGGAUCAAGGAGAUUUUAAUUUCAUUUUAAACUGUGCAUCAUCUUGAUAGCGAAGGAAAAAGCCGCAGCAACAAUCUCCCCGCUCCACGCCCCCGCCGUUCAAAAAAAAAAAAAAAAAAAAAAAAA